GUAUUGGCUUUGACUUUUCAGAAGGCUUAUCUGUUAGAUGGUGUUUGUCACUGGGCCGCGGAGCUGUGGAUGUUCGUCAGUUGGAAGUUGCAGGCAGUUGAACGAUAUGGACAGGUAAUGUCAUUGCAUGUACACAGUUUAAGACAGAGCAUCUGGUGAUUCUCGGACCUUCAAGCAAGUGUCACAUCUCAGGUGAACCUUGGCAGUUUUAAGAUGAACAAAGUAAUCAAAGCAAAAAUGUCAAAUAAUAAUAAUAAUAAUGAUAUCAGAAGAAUGUCCAGUGCCAUGGUUGGAUUCCCAGAAGGCAGCAUCUGCUCAUGCCAUCAACAACAUGGUGCCAUUUCAGUCAUCCUCUUUUUGUCCCAAAGACAGAAAAAAAAUAGAAAAAAGAAAGAGAAAAAGACACCACGAACCGUCUAUCCUCCUGGGUGUGAGGUUUGGAGGGCCUCUCGUCAAAACUUUGGAGGGCUCUGUCAGUUUGAAAAGAACAUGACCUUUAAAUUGUAUCAGUAUGUUUGCUGGUGCAUAAGGGAGAGGAAAAGGUUCGUCCUGAUGGAAAACCACUCAGAAGCCAAGGAGUAAUUCAGAGGGAACCAGCCCAGGAAGAAUCAAGAAAGCUGCCCACAGUGUCAUUCUUCAGCUGAGAAAAGAGAGAGUUGACUAACUCCUCGGACUGGAGUGAGGACUCACAGAGGUGGUAGGACACUAACCAUCUAUGUCUCCAUUUCCUGGGUUGUAACACUGAGGUAGAACAUCUCACUGUCCCAUGGAGGAUUAUGUUAUUUUUGGAGAUUAAUAAUUUUGGAGGAAGAAAGGUGGCUUCCUGAAAAGGAAGUCACAUGAAGAAGCAACUUACACGGUGGUCUCUUUAAAUAAACAUAUUGUGACUAGACAA
rnacentral:lncRNA from 1 species